UGAAGUUGUAUGGUUUAAAAUGAUAUAUGAUGGAAGUUUCGCUUCUCAAUGAUGCAGUUUCUCAUAUUGUGAUGUCAUAAUGGAAGCUAACCAAUGUUCUUGAAAUGAAAGCCUCUAUUUCCUUUUUCCUUUUGAUUUUAUUACUUCCUAUACUUCAAUAUCUUGCCACAUUAAUGCAUUACUCUAUGCACUCUGCAUUCUCUGUACUCUGUCUCUAAUGAAAAACAAUUGUUCAAAAGGUAUGCUUACAGAUAACACAAUCACUAUAUGCUUAUAAAUUAUUUGUUUAGAAUUUA